CAGUCGCCGCGGGAAAACGGAGGGGGCUAGCGUUGUUCGGAAUUACUGGGCGUAAAGCGCACGUAGGCGGCUUGGUAAGUUAGAGGUGAAAGCCCGGAGCUCAACUCCGGAAUUGCCUUUAAGACUGCCGAGCUAGUAGGUGAGAGAGGUAAGUGGAAUUCCGAGUGUAGAGGUGAAAUUCGUAGAUAUUCGGAAGAACACCAGUGGCGAAGGCGGCUUACUGGCUCAUUCUAGACGCUGAGGUGCGAAAGCGUGGGGAGCAAACAGGAUUAGAUACCCCGGUAGUCCCUGUCUCUUAUAC
rnacentral:rRNA from 1 species